rnacentral:rRNA from 1 species
AGGUGAAAAGCACGCCCGUUAGGCGAGUGAAAUAGACCCUGAAACUGUGUGCUUACAAGCGGUGGGAGCUCGGGUGCUGGCUAAGCCAGCAGUGAGUGACCGCGUGCCUUUUGCAUAAUGAGCCAAC